GUUUAAAUAGCUUGUUUAAUGAAAGAACAAAUGUCAGGUGUGCUCGUUACCUCUACGUAAUUACCACUAACAGGUAAGACGUAUGAGGUGCAAGCCUCGUAUCACGGACAUAAUAUGCGGGUCACGCCUCCUUGGUGUGACGUGACGUCACUGGUAUCUUCAAUAGAAAGUGCUCGUUACCUCUACGUAAUUAUCUCUGAC